GACGAACGCUGGCGGCGUGCCUAAUACAUGCAAGUAGAACGCUGAAGGAGGAGCUUGCUUCUCUGGAUGAGUUGCGAACGGGUGAGUAACGCGUAGGUAACCUGCCUGGUAGCGGGGGAUAACUAUUGGAAACGAUAGCUAAUACCGCAUAACAGCAAAUGUUGCAUGACAUUUGCUUAAAAGGUGCAAUUGCAUCACUACCAGAUGGACCUGCGUUGUAUUAGCUAGUUGGUGGGGUAACGGCUCACCAAGGCGACGAUACAUAGCCGACCUGAGAGGGUGAUCGGCCACACUGGGACUGAGACACGGCCCAGACUCCUACGGGAGGCAGCAGUAGGGAAUCUUCGGCAAUGGACGGAAGUCUGACCGAGCAACGCCGCGUGAGUGAAGAAGGUUUUCGGAUCGUAAAGCUCUGUUGUAAGAGAAGAACGAGUGUGAGAGUGGAAAGUUCACACUGUGACGGUAUCUUACCAGAAAGGGACGGCUAACUACGUGCCAGCAGCCGCGGUAAUACGUAGGUCCCGAGCGUUGUCCGGAUUUAUUGGGCGUAAAGCGAGCGCAGGCGGUUAGAUAAGUCUGAAGUUAAAGGCUGUGGCUUAACCAUAGUACGCUUUGGAAACUGUUUAACUUGAGUGCAAGAGGGGAGAGUGGAAUUCCAUGUGUAGCGGUGAAAUGCGUAGAUAUAUGGAGGAACACCGGUGGCGAAAGCGGCUCUCUGGCUUGUAACUGACGCUGAGGCUCGAAAGCGUGGGGAGCAAACAGG
rnacentral:rRNA from 1 species